rnacentral:rRNA from 1 species
AUACGUAGGGUGCAAGCGUUAAUCGGAAUUACUGGGCGUAAAGCGUGCGCAGGCGGUUUUGUAAGACAGUGGUGAAAUCCCCGGGCUCAACCUGGGAACUGCCAUUGUGACUGCAAGGCUGGCGUGCGGCAGAGGGGGAUGGAAUUCCGCGUGUAGCAGUGAAAUGCGUAGAUAUGCGGAGGAACACCGAUGGCGAAGGCAAUCCCCUGGGCCUGCACUGACGCUCAUGCACGAAAGCGUGGGGAGCAAACAGGAUUAGAUACCCUGGUAGUCCACGCCCUAAACGAUGUCAACUGGUUGUUGGGGAUUUAUUUUCUCAGUAACGAAGCUAACGCGUGAAGUUGACCGCCUGGGGAGUACGGCCGCAAGGUUAAAACUUAAAGGAAUUGACGGGG